GAGAGAGAAGAAGGAGAAAAUGGAAGAGGGAGAGGAUGCAGAGGUGGAGGAAAACAAAGAAAAGCAGAGCAGAAGCCCAUCGCCUGGGGAAACUGCAAGUUCUAAGGGGUCUCAUAAGCUGUGGAAGAUGGUAGCAUAGUGGUAGAUCUGUCCAAUCUUGGUGCACAGCAUGUAACCAUAUUAACUGAGUUGUGUUUUCAUUGCUGGGGCAUAUUUGGGAGGAGAUUUACAUCAACACCAUGGUGUUACCACAAUGCUGCUACCUUAUUAGGGAAUUGAAAAACAUAGGUUCUCUCCAUGGAACACUGCAGAAGCAUGAUGGCUAAUUCGUUUGACAAGCUGGCAGGUCAAUCAACACCCUUCAGCCUGACUGUACCAGGUCUGAGUCUUCAGGCACCUGGUCAUCUGGGUCCAGGUUGAUGCUGCAGCAUGUCUUCUAACCCGCCUACCACCAGAGGGCAGCAGCGUACAUUCACAACAAUUGUUGAGAAGUGGAAGCCGAUGAAUCUUAUGUGCAGAAGAGGACAUAGCAAAAGAAGAAGCAUUCCAUACCACCUGCGUUCAUGCCUGCCAUGCCCUGGAUUUGGGCCCCCAUCUGAACCAUCUCCUGCACAUAACCAUGCUAUCAUAAUGAGGAAUCUUGAGAUCUGUGACAAUCUCUCUCUUCUCCCCAGCCCACAGCUCCAUCACACCCUACUCUAAUCACUAAGGAUCACUCAAGAUACUUCACUGUCUUCUGUUUUUCCAAAGUCCCUAAGUCACUUUAAGACUUUCUAUGUCCUCUGUAAACAGUCACAUACUCAUGUCUGGGGCUAGGUAUACAUGUGGAGAUAAGAGUGCAAGAGACAAGAAUGAAGGAGAGAAAAGUGAGGAAGGAAAAAUAAAGAGCUAUUUAUGUGGUAGGUCUGUGUUCCCCAAACACCAUGGGAUGAUCCAAGGAUAUCCAGCAUAAGGUGUGACUUCUUCAAAAUAGCCUUGAGUGAGCAGCUUAGCCCAGAGAAGACCUAAGGAUCCAAAGCAUUGCUGCAUAUUACUCUUAUGUGCAAAGAGGCCAGGAAGCUAUCCCAGGAAAUUUCAUCACAUCCCUCAAUGGCAGAUGCAUUCUACUGAGAAGAGAGCAACGGGUUCACUUGGCAAAUAUUGCUGUCACAUGAUGUCAAUGUAUCUGCAUCUCCUAUGACUUUAACUCAUCUGGAGCACUGCCUGCCUCAGGAGCCAGCACUUUUCCAAGCUGCCACAGGUCAACCUGGUCCUUGGUUUUCCUAAAGACUCCUUAGUCUGAGGGAAUUUACUUUCCCAUACUUCUGAGACCCAAAUAACCCAUUUCCCAAAUCCAGCCAGGAAAACCAAAUGGAAAUAUUUGGGGCAUCUAUGAGAAAAUUCUCCUUCAGGUCAGCAUCACUCUGUGAAGGCCAAGUUACCCUUAUCUCAAGUCUACACCAAUGGUAAUGAAUUUUUAAUAAAAAUUUCUCAGGAGAAAUUUCUUUUACUAUGACUGGCCUUUUUGUUUAAUCUCAAAACCAGAGUUAAUAAUAUACUCUGAGGUUACUUCAGACGUAGAACAAUGCCAGUGUAUGCUUUUCCUUUGUAUAACCUGUCCUUAAGGGACUAAUGGAACAACCAACCUUACUUGCCUUGAGUUUUAAGUAACCAAUCAUUAUAAUCUGAUGUAAGGCAUAGCUGUUAUUUUAAAAUAUGUUUUUCAAUGCUUCUGACCCAGAGUGUAAUGAAUUUUUAUCUAUGUAAGUGUUACAAUGAUCACAUUUGGAAAAUGGUAAAUAGGAUAAAAGCUGUUUUUAAAAAUGAAUACCCACCACAAAUAUUGAAUAAAACAUACAAAUAGUGC
rnacentral:lncRNA from 1 species